rnacentral:sRNA from 1 species
CUGAAAGCCCUGGCACCUGAAAUGCUUUAUUUUCCAUUGAACAGGAACAGUUUGGGUAGCUUCCCUAUGCUCCCCCCUCCAAUAUGCCCCAUCCCUGACCUGGAGGGACCACUUACAGGGCUGAGAACCUCUGAGGCCUCGGGGUAAUUAGACUAUAAUGCAAAG